UGCUUGUUUAGCUCAACUGGUAGAGCAUAUGUCUUGUAAACAUAAGGUAGCAAGUUCAAGUCUUGCAACAAGCAU
rnacentral:tRNA from 1 species